rnacentral:rRNA from 1 species
UACGUAGGGGGCAAGCGUUGUCCGGAUUUAUUGGGCGUAAAGAGCGUGUAGGCGGUCAUGUAGGUCCGUUGUGAAAACUCGAGCUCAACCUCGAGACGCCGAUGGAAACCAUAUGACUAGAGUCCGGAAGAGGAGAGUGGAAUUCCUGGUGUAGCGGUGAAAUGCGCAGAUAUCAGGAGAACACCGGUGGCGAAGGCGGGCGAC